CAGCUUCUCUGCUGGCACUGGGCAAGUCUCCUGAGCCUCUGAGCCCAGCCCUGGGAGGAUAACAGUGUCCAUGGGGGACCCAGCACCUGCCACCCCCAGCACCAGUGAGGCAAGGUGAAGCCCAGCACCAUCACUACACCCAGCUGGGGUUUCCUGACAACUGUACAUGCAGUUCCAGAAAGAGAGAGAGAGAAAGAGAAGGAAGAGAGGGAGGGAGGUGAUUCUCAUGUGCAGCCAAGACUGAGAACCUCAUGAAGACUUAUAAGCAGGGCUACUCCCGAGGCAUCUCUCAGGACCAGUGAUCCAUAACACGUGUUUGGCCAAGGCUCAGGAAGACCCCACACUAACAGGCCCCACCACGUCAUCAGCCAGGAGGGAAGCCUGCCUGUCCCCAUCCUCACCGAAGGAUGGUCACCAACAGGAGAGGCUGCUCUAGAAGCACAGGAGGAAGACGCUCAGCCCAGAUCCACUCCAGAUCCCACAAAUAG
ensembl:lncRNA